AAACUAAUAGCUUUUAAAAAAUCGUAAUCCAUUACAGGAAUUUUGUUUUCCGUGUAGUCUAAUUACAGGCUGUUGGAACCAUUACCGUAAUUUGCUGGGAAGCAGGAAUGAAUAUUUGAGAAGGCGAUAGAAUGUCCAUAGAAAAGGGGAAGCCCCUCGGCACCAAAGAAUCGGAACCUCAAUCUGAGAAGGCAUUCACCACCAUUGUUAAACCGACAAUCGACAAUCGAUCAAUGGUGAAUGAAAUCCACAAUGGCUCUUAUCAACCGUAAGUAGUUCGGAUAUGGUGAGGUGAGGAUGACGCUAUAACAUUACUAUAUAUAGUAAAACAGUAACAAUGAUUGAAACCAUUAAUUAAUUAAUGAAAAUAUUAUUAACUAAAUGUCGCAAU